UACGGGGGGAGCAAGCGUUGUUCGGAUUUACUGGGCGUAAAGGGCGCGUAGGCGGCCAGCACAAGUCAGUUGUGAAAUCUCCGGGCUUAACUCGGAAAGGUCAACUGAUACUGUGCGGCUAGAGUGCGGAAGGGGCAACUGGAAUUCUCGGUGUAGCGGUGAAAUGCGUAGAUAUCGAGAGGAACACCUGCGGCGAAGGCGGGUUGCUGGGCCGACACUGACGCUGAGGGACGAAAGCUAGGGGAGCGAAUGGG
rnacentral:rRNA from 1 species